GGUCCUAUGGCGCAACGGUAGCGCGUUCGACUCCAGAUCGAAAGGUAAGUUACACCCCGGGGUUUCGAUCCCCUAAUGACACCC